rnacentral:rRNA from 1 species
UACAGGUGCUGCAUGGCUGUCGUCAGCUCGUGCUGUGAAGUGUGGGUUAAGUCCGCAACGAGCGCAACCCCUGCUGUCUGUUGCCACCACGAGAGGUGGGGACUCAGGCGGAACUGCCGGUGCAAACCGGAGGAAGGUGGGGACGACGUCAAGUCAUCAUGGCCCUUAUGUCCUGGGCUACACACGUGCUACAAUGGCCGGUACAGAGCGCAGCGAGGCCGCGAGGCGGAGCGAAUCGCUUAAAGCCGGUCCCAGUACGGAUUGGAGUCUGCAACCCGACUCCAUGAAGUUGGAAUCGCUAGUAAUCGCGCAUCAGCAUGGCGCGGUGAAUACGUUCCCGGGCCUU